CACCGCGUAGCUCAGUUGGCAGAGCAUUGGGCUAGUAUUCCAAAGGUCGUAGGUUCGAUUCCCACCGUGGUCA